UGCAGUCGAGCGGAUGACGGGAGCUUGCUCCUUGAUUCAGCGGCGGACGGGUGAGUAAUGCCUAGGAAUCUGCCUGGUAGUGGGGGACAACGUUUCGAAAGGAACGCUAAUACCGCAUACGUCCUACGGGAGAAAGCAGGGGACCUUCGGGCCUUGCGCUAUCAGAUGAGCCUAGGUCGGAUUAGCUAGUUGGUGGGGUAAUGGCUCACCAAGGCGACGAUCCGUAACUGGUCUGAGAGGAUGAUCAGUCACACUGGAACUGAGACACGGUCCAGACUCCUACGGGAGGCAGCAGUGGGGAAUAUUGGACAAUGGGCGAAAGCCUGAUCCAGCCAUGCCGCGUGUGUGAAGAAGGUCUUCGGAUUGUAAAGCACUUUAAGUUGGGAGGAAGGGCAGUAAGCUAAUACCUUGCUGUUUUGACGUUACCGACAGAAUAAGCACCGGCUAACUCUGUGCCAGCAGCCGCGGUAAUACAGAGGGUGCAAGCGUUAAUCGGAAUUACUGGGCGUAAAGCGCGCGUAGGUGGUUUGUUAAGUUGGAUGUGAAAGCCCCGGGCUCAACCUGGGAACUGCAUCCAAAACUGGCAAGCUAGAGUACGGUAGAGGGUGGUGGAAUUUCCUGUGUAGCGGUGAAAUGCGUAGAUAUAGGAAGGAACACCAGUGGCGAAGGCGACCACCUGGACUGAUACUGACACUGAGGUGCGAAAGCGUGGGGAGCAAACAGGAUUAGAUACCCUGGUAGUCCACGCCGUAAACGAUGUCAACUAGCCGUUGGAAUCCUUGAGAUUUUAGUGGCGCAGCUAACGCAUUAAGUUGACCGCCUGGGGAGUACGGCCGCAAGGUUAAAACUCAAAUGAAUUGACGGGGGCCCGCACAAGCGGUGGA
rnacentral:rRNA from 1 species